rnacentral:rRNA from 1 species
CCCUUAGAUGUUCUGGGCGGCCCGCGCACUACAAUGGCGUGUGCAGCGAGUGCCGAAGUAGAGUUUUCCGAGGUAUUCUUGCAAUGCUCGUUUUGAUGGGGAUAGACCCUUGCAACUGUUGGUUUUGAACGAGGAAUUCCGUGUAAGCAUGGUUUAUCAUCCGACGCUGAAUGCGUCCCUGCCCUUUGUACACACCGCCCGUCGCUCCUACCGAUGAGUCGUCCGGUGAAGUUCGUAGACCUCGUGAUCGCGGAUCACUGGGGGAAGCAAAAUGAACCUCGCGGUUUAGAGGAAGGAGAAGUCGUAACA